AUGGGAGCCCACUGGUAUGUGUGUGGAGGGGAGCAGAGACAGAAAGGAAGUAAUAUUGAGUCACAGCAGUCAAGAAAGAUCAAAGAUUGGCUAUUUUUGACACACAAAAGGGACCUUGGGCAUCUUAGACUUGGUCAAUUGAAGCACACCAGAAAGAGAUAUUCCCUCCCUUGUGUGGAUGUCUUUGCAUGGCACCUUCAGAGCACUGACACUUAUCCAGCUCACUUUUGGCCAUGUCUCUGUGCUCUGAGCCCAGCUCAUUCUAUCUACACUUUCCAUAUAUUCAGGAGCAAAUUAUGAACACGGCUUGUGAAUAAUUUGAUUGCCGGCGUGAGAAAUGCACACGCUGCUGAUCCUGAGAAAUGGAGCUGUCGUUUACUGAUUUAAUGAGUAAAUAACGACUUAUUCUGAAAUACUGUAGGGAUAUUAUGCCAGUGGUUCUCUUUGGGUCUUUAUACACAUUUUAACUCCAGUCAGUUUUUUGUUGUGUGUGUGUGUGGUUUUUUAAAAAUCUGAAGUUUAUUUUUGCAGUGGUGCUUGGAAAGCUGUAAAUGAUCCACAAGGAAUUAACAGACAAAAGUCUCUGGCUCUGCUCCACCCUAUUGAAGUUGAUGGCAAAACUCCCAUUGAAUUCAGUGGAAGUAACAACUAGGUCUUGUGAGAGUAAACAAUAAAUCAGUUUUAUAAUCACA
rnacentral:lncRNA from 1 species